rnacentral:rRNA from 1 species
UACGGAGGAUCCGAGCGUUAUCCGGAUUUAUUGGGUUUAAAGGGUGCGCAGGCGGGGGAUUAAGUCGGCGGUGAAAUUUUGCAGCUCAACUGUAAAAGUGCCUUCGAAACUGGUUUCCUUGAGUGUAGAUGAAGUAGGCGGAAUUUGUGGUGUAGCGGUGAAAUGCUUAGAUAUCACGAGGAACUCCGAUUGCGCAGGCAGCUUACUAAACUACUACUGACGCUCAGGCACGAAGGCGUGGGGAUCAAACAGGAUUAGAUACCCCUGUAGUCCCU